CUGGGAACCCUGGCAACUGAAACCAAAGCAAACCAAACACUGUCGCAAUCUGGGCAGAGAUCUACGGAUCUGCCUGGCCGUAGUCAUAGGCUGGGAACAGGGGCCAAAACUGGGUGGUGUGGCCCACUGAGCUAGAAGUCUGAAUUUAUACACACACACACACACACCCUGAAGUCACCCAGAGGGAGGAAGAAGAGGGGUGCAGCAUAUAGCGGCCUCAGAACGGUGCUCCAGAGACACUGGGCUUUGCCAUCCAGUCCCCACACAAGGCUACAGCCAAUGUGCGCCUGGUGAGUCCCUGGGAACUGGGAAACCCCUGAUGGUUGAAGCUGAAGCUGUUACCAGUGGAGAAUUCUUCCCAGGCCUAAUUUUCUCUCUCACACUGGUAUAUCGGUCUCGACCCUCAGACUCUUGGCCAGACAGAUGCCACUGGACGUCCCUCCAAAUGUAUAGCCUAAGUUUGUGAUGCUGCCUGGCACAGAACCUGGUCCGGCUUGGAAAGCAGGGACAUCGGCACUGAGCUUAUCUCCUGGUGCUAAUGCAGGAGAGGGUCGAGCUUCAGAAGCUAGGAGCAAUGAGUCCAGCAGUGGUAACCAUAACUAAGACACCUUCCCAGAGAAAGCAACCAAUGUUAUUCUAACUGUACCGGGAAGAUAACCAGGAGAAUAAAAACAUCCACCUAAGGAAUCUGGAGACCACUGGACAAAUGAGACAUCUAAAGGAGAAGACAAAUCGUUAAGAGAAAAUGUCCCAAGAAAAAGAGUAAAUUGGCCUAAUGGCAUAGCACACUCCCAACAGGGUUGAAUUUCAUAAACCUUCCCAAACACUGUUUUUGCUGCUCUCUAAAAUAAUAAAAGGCAGAUUUUUUUUAGUCCCAAUUUAGUUAAAAAUCAAAGAUGGAUUUGAUGUUGAAAUGUGACUCUCUCCUCUAAACCCAAGCAUUCUUGUUAAAGGACAAUCCAAAAUCUCUGUCUCAUGUUAGAAGAGCCACCUGGUAUGGAUCAGAAGAAAACCAAAGUUAAGGGCUAAUUCUAUUGCCACUAAUCUCAUAACCCUUUAGUUUUAUUUUGACUCUCUUAAAACACCUUCCUUAAUAAAUAAAUAUUAUCUCAAAAUAGA